GCAUCAGUGGUUUAGUGGUAAAAUUCAUCGUUAGCUAUCGAUGGGCCCCGCGUCCGAAUCGCGGCUGAUGCA